rnacentral:rRNA from 1 species
GCAGUAGCCACGGUAAAACGAAGGGGGCUAGCGUUGUUCGGAUUUACUGGGCGUAAAGGGUGCGUAGGCGGCUUGACAAGUCUUGUGUGAAAUCUAUGGGCUCAACCCAUAGUCUGCACGGGAAACUGUCGGGCUUGAGAAUGGGAGAGGUGAGUGGAAUUUCCGGUGUAGCGGUGAAAUGCGUAGAUAUCGGAAGGAACACCUGUGGCGAAAGCGGCUCACUGGACCAUUUCUGACGCUGAUGCACGAAAGCUAGGGGAGCAAACAGGAUUAGAUACCCCCGUAGUCCCUGUCUCUUAUAC